GUCGGCGAGUCGGGCUGUUUGGGAAUGCAGCCCUAAGUGGGUGGUAAAUUCCAUCCAAGGCUAAAUAUUGGCAGGAGACCGAUAGCGAACAAGUACCGCGAGGGAAAGAUGAAAAGGACUUUGAAAAGAGAGUUAAAAAGUGCUUGAAAUUGCUGGGAGGGAAGCGAAUGGAAGCUGCGGGUGCGCCCCGGUUGGAUGUGGAACGGCCCCUCGGCUGGUCCGCCGCUCAACGCGGGGCGCUGGUCAGCGUGGGCCGCCGUGGCGGGACAAGAGCGGGAUGUAGCUUCCCGCCUAUGCCGUUGCGGCGGCCGAGGAACGAAGCGCGCGGGGCCCCUCGGUGCCCCGUGGGAUCCGUCCCAACUGCGCGCUCGGGACGCUGGCGUAUUGGGCUCUUCAUCCGACCCGUCUUGAAACACGGACCAAGGAGUCUAACAUGUAUGCGAGCCGGUGGGCGGCAAACCCAUUGAGGCGCAAGGAAACUGACAGGUGGGACCCCGCUGAUCCAGGGAGCACCAUCGACCGACCGUGAUCUUCUGUGAAAGGUUCGAGUGUGAGCAUACCUGUUGGGACCCGAAAGAUGGUGAACUAUGCCUGAGCAGGGCGAAGCCAGAGGAAACUCUGGUGGAGGCUCGUAGCGAUACUGACGUGCAAAUCGUUCGUCAGACUUGGGUAUAGGGGCGAAAGACUAAUCGAACCAUCUAGUAGCUGGUUCCCUCCGAAGUUUCC
rnacentral:rRNA from 1 species